GGGGAAUAUUGCACAAUGGGGGAAACCCUGAUGCAGCGACGCCGCGUGGAGGAAGAAGGUCUUCGGAUUGUAAACUCCUGUUGUUGGGGAAGAUAAUGACGGUACCCAACAAGGAAGUGACGGCUAACUACGUGCCAGCAGCCGCGGUAAAACGUAGGUCACAAGCGUUGUCCGGAAUUACUGGGUGUAAAGGGAGCGCAGGCGGGAAGACAAGUUGGAAGUGAAAUCUAUGGGCUCAACCCAUAAACUGCUUUCAAAACUGUUUUUCUUGAGUAGUGCAGAGGUAGGCGGAAUUCCCGGUGUAGCGGUGGAAUGCGUAGAUAUCGGGAGGAACACCAGUGGCGAAGGCGGCCUACUGGGCACCAACUGACGCUGAGGCUCGAAAGUGUGGGUAGCAAACAGGAUUAGAUACCCUGGUAGUCCACACCGUAAACGAUGAUUACUAGGUGUUGGAGGAUUGACCCCUUCAGUGCCGCAGUUAACACAAUAGGUAAUCCACCUGGGGAGUACGACCGCAAGGUUGAAACUCAAAGGAAUUGACGGGGGCCCGCACAAGCAGUGGAGUAUGUGGUUUAAUUCGACGCAACGCGAAGAACCUUACCAAGUCUUGACAUCCCUUGACAGACAUAGAAAUAUGUAAUCUCUUCGGAGCAAGGAGACAGGUGGUGCAUGGUUGUCGUCAGCUCGUGUCGUGAGAUGUUGGGUUAAGUCCCGCAACGAGCGCAACCCUUAUGGUCAGUUACUACGCAAGAGGACUCUGGCCAGACUGCCGUUGACAAAACGGAGGAAGGUGGGGAUGACGUCAAAUCAUCAUGCCCUUUAUGACUUGGGCUACACACGUACUACAAUGGCGUUAAACAAAGAGAAGCAAGACCGCGAGGUGGAGCAAAACUCAGAAACAACGUCCCAGUUCGGACUGCAGGCUGCAACUCGCCUGCACGAAGUCGGAAUUGCUAGUAAUCGUGGAUCAGCAUGCCACGGUGAAUACGUUCCCG
rnacentral:rRNA from 1 species